rnacentral:rRNA from 1 species
UGAGGAAUAUUGGGCAAUGGGCGCAAGCCUGACGGAGCGAUGCCGCGUGAGGGAUGAAGGCCUUCGGGUUGUAAACCUCUGUCAGAGGGGACGAAGAAUGUGACGGUACCCUCAGAGGAAGCCACGGCUAACUACGUGCCAGCAGCCGCGGUAAUACGUAGGUGGCGAGCGUUAUUCGGAUUCACUGGGCGUAAAGGGUCCGUAGGGGGUCUGCCAAGUCUGGUGUGAAAGCCCGCGGCUCAACUGCGGAACGGCACUGGAUACUGGCGGGCUACGAGUCUGCGAGGGGUAAGCGGAAUUCCUGGUGUAGCGGUGGAAUGCGUAGAUAUCAGGAAGAACACCGAUGGCGAAGGCGGCUUACUGGCGCAGUACUGACCCUGAGGGACGAAAGCGUGGGUAGCAAACA